rnacentral:rRNA from 1 species
UACGUAGGGUGCGAGCGUUGUCCGGAAUUAUUGGGCGUAAAGAGCUCGUAGGCGGUCUGUCGCGUCGGCUGUGAAAUCCCGAGGCUCAACCUCGGGUCUGCAGUCGAUACGGGCAAACUAGAGUAUUGCAGGGGAGACUGGAAUUCCUGGUGUAGCGGUGAAAUGCGCAGAUAUCAGGAGGAACACCGGUGGCGAAGGCGGGUCUCUGGGCCGUAACUGACGCUGAGGAGCGAAAGCAUGGGGAGCGAACAGG